rnacentral:rRNA from 1 species
CACGUAGGGGGCAAGCGUUGUCCGGAUUUAUUGGGCGUAAAGAGCUCGUAGGCGGCUCAGUAAGUCAGGUGUGAAACCUCCAGGCUCAACCUGGAGACGCCACCUGAUACUGCUGUGGCUAGAGUCCGGUAGGGGAGCGUGGAAUUCCUGGUGUAGCGGUGAAAUGCGCAGAUAUCAGGAGGAACACCAGCGGCGAAGGCGGCGCUCUGGGCCGGAACUGACGCUGAGGAGCGAAAGCGUGGGGAGCGAACAGG